UAAUACCCGAAAUGUGCUCAUUUACAUAAAGGUAAAUGAGGAAAGGAGCUACGGCUCCGCUUCAGGAUGGGCCCGCGUCCCAUUAGCUAGUUGGUGAGGUAAAGGCCCACCAAGGCAACGAUGGGUAUCCGGCCUGAGAGGGUGAACGGACACAUUGGGACUGAGAUACGGCCCAAACUCCUACGGGAGGCAGCAGCUAAGAAUCUUCCGCAAUGGACGAAAGUCUGACGGAGCGACGCCGUGUGAAUGAAGAAGGCCGAAAGGUUGUAAAAUUCUUUUGCAGAUGAAGAAUAAGAAGAAGAGGGAAUGCUUCCUUUGAUGACG
rnacentral:rRNA from 1 species